rnacentral:rRNA from 1 species
AUUGAACGCUGGCGGCAGGCCUAACACAUGCAAGUCGAGCGGAUGAAGGGAGCUUGCUCCUGGAUUCAGCGGCGGACGGGUGAGUAAUGCCUAGGAAUCUGCCUGGUAGUGGGGGAUAACGUCCGGAAACGGGCGCUAAUACCGCAUACGUCCUGAGGGAGAAAGUGGGGGAUCUUCGGACCUCACGCUAUCAGAUGAGCCUAGGUCGGAUUAGCUAGUUGGUGGGGUAAAGGCCUACCAAGGCGACGAUCCGUAACUGGUCUGAGAGGAUGAUCAGUCACACUGGAACUGAGACACGGUCCAGACUCCUACGGGGGGCAGCAGUGGGGAAUAUUGGACAAUGGGCGAAAGCCUGAUCCAGCCAUGCCGCGUGUGUGAAGAAGGUCUUCGGAUUGUAAAGCACUUUAAGUUGGGAGGAAGGGCAGUAAGUUAAUACCUUGCUGUUUUGACGUUACCAACAGAAUAAGCACCGGCUAACUUCGUGC